rnacentral:lncRNA from 1 species
CUGGUCUCAAACUCCCAACCUCAGGGGAUUCACCCGCCUCAGCCUCCCAAAGUGCUGGGAUUACAGGUGUGAGCCACUGCACCCGGCCCCCUUAUUCCCUUCUUAACAAUGCAUCACGUACUUACUCUGGUUUUGGUUUAAGGUCAUCCCCCUUUGCUGAAAGUGUCAGCUCAGCAGGGAUCUUUUGAUUUGCUCACAGCCAUCCCCUCAUUGCCUAGAACAGUGCCUGCACACAGUAGGUGCUCAAUAAAUACUCAUUGAACAAAUUGAAUGAAUGAAUCUCUUCAAAAGUAUUGACUAAAGAGGUAAAGGGCCCUUCUUGAUAGAGUAAAACUGCAAAGAGGACCCUUCCUUGAUAUCAGUGUGCAAAAUCUCACAUCAAGGGACCUCCCCUCCACAAAAAAAGAAUAAUAAAGAGUCCUUCUUUUCCAGGUUGAGAAAGGAGGGGAUGUCUCCUCUCCUGGGAAGAGUGACGACAUCUCUAGAAGCCAGGCAUGAAAGAAGAGAAUGAAAACUCCAUCCGGUGUGGAUUGAGGCAGAGACCCUACUCACUUCCUGUGGUUCCUCAAAAAAUUAAAAAUAGAACUAUGAGCCGGGCACGGUGGCUUACACCUGUAAUCCCAGCACUUUGGGAGGCCGAGGCGGGCGGAUCACUUGAGGUCAGGAGAUUGAGACCAGCCUGGCCAACAUGGUGAAACUCCCCGUCUCUACUAAAAGUAGAAAAAUUAGCCAGGCAUGGUGGCAGGUGCCUGUAAUCCCCGCUACUCAGGAGGCUGAGGCAGGAGAAUCACUUGAACCCGGGAGGUGGAGGUUGCAGUGAGCUGAGAUCACUCCACUGCACUGCAGUCUGGGCAACAGAGGAAGACUCCGUCACAAAAAACAAAAAAAGAAACAAAAAAAAAAAACCUGUGAGCUGAGCAUGGUGAUUGAUGCCUGUAGUCCCAGUGACUUGACAGGCUGAGGCAGGAGGAUGGCUUGAGCCCAGGAAUUGGAGGCUGCAGUGAGCUAUGAUUGUGCCACUGCACUCCAGCCUGGGUGACAGAGCAAGAUCUUGUCUCUAAAAUAAAUAAAUAAAUAAAAGUAGAACUACCAUAUGAUCCAGCAAUCCCACUUCUUGGAACAUAUACUGUGAAAGGAAAAUAAAUCUCGAGACCCCAAAAUCACAAAGCCAAAGGGAAAAGUCAGGUUGAGAACUACAUCAGGCAAACCAGCCUCCCAUUUCAUUCCCAAAUAAGAUAGCUACCAAAUUGUUUGUUUGUUUGUUUGUUUGUUUGUUUUAGACGGGGUCUCCCUCUGUCGCCCAGGCUGGAGUGCAGUGGCUCAGUCUCGGCUCACUGCAACCUCCACCUCCCAGGUUCAAGUGAUUCUCCUGCCUCAGCCUCCUGAGUAGCUGGGAUUACAGGCGCGCACCACCACGCCUGGCUAAUUUUUUUUGUUUUUAGUAGAGAUGGGGUUUCAGCAUGCUGGUCAGGCUGGUCUCGAACUCCUGACCUCGUGAUCUGCCUGCCUUGGCCUCCCAAAGUGCUGGGAUUACAGGCGUGAGCCACCGCACCCGGCCAAUAGCUACCAAGAUUUAAAAAGCAACAUACCUCCCUCAAAAUUUGCCCACAAGGAAAUUCUUUGUGGGACUCAAGAUAUUUACCCUAAAACAGUUCUGUUGAAUUUCACCUUGGCAAUGUAAAUGGACAGCUUAUCUUUACAGAUGCGGGACAGAAAGUCAUCCCUCCGCUCGCCUGAGAGAAAUGCAUAUCUGAUUGCUUCCUCUGCCCUAUUGUUCAUGUAAAAAUGCAGAUUUAUGGACCCAGACUAAGGUUUAAGUGACUAUUCCUCUACCUCCCUCUCACGUGUAAACUGUGUAUUCAGUGAAAGGCUAAUCAAAGACUCAAAAGUAGCCGGGUGCAGUGGCUCACGCCUGUAAUCCCAGCACUUUGGGAGGCUGAGGUGCGCGGAUCACAAGAUCAGGAGAUCGAGACCAUCCUGGCUAACACGGUGAAACCCCGUCUCUAGUAAAAAUACAAAAAAUUAGCCAGGCGUGGUGGCGGGUGCCUGUAGUCCCAGCUACUCAGGAGGCUGAGGCAGGAGAAUGGCAUGAGCCCUGGAGGCGGAGCUUGCAGUGAGCCGAGAUCGCACCACUGCACUCCAACCUGGGCGACAGAGCGAGACUUAAUCUCAAAAAAAAAAAAAAAAAAAAAAAAAAAGACUGAAAAGUAUGCAACCAUUUGUCUCUUACCUACCUAUAACCUGGAAACCGGCCCCCUCCCCACCCCCCCGCCCACGCCGCUGCCACUUCAAGUUGCCCUGCCUUUCCAGACCAAGCCAUUGUAUCUUACACAUCUUGAUUGAUGUCUCAUGUCUCCCUAAAGUGUAUAAAAACAAGCUGCACCCUGACCACCUUCGGCAAAUGUCAUCAGGACCUCCUAAGGCUGUCACAGGCGUGUUCUCAACCUUGGCAAAAUAAACUUUCUAAAUGGAUGGAGACCUAUCUCAAAUACUUUGAGUUCACAAUCCAAACAAAAUCAAAUCAGUAUCUCCAAGAGACAUCUGCACCCCCCACGUUCAUUGUAGCAUUAUUCAGAGUAGCCAAGAUAUGGAAACAAUUUAAGUGUCCACCAAUGGAUGAACAGACAAAAAAAUUGUGGUUUAUCUACAGUGGAAUAUUAUUCGGUCUUUAAAAAGAAAGACAUUCUGCCAUAUAUGACAUCAUGGAUGAAUUGGAGGACAUUAUGCGAAGUGAAAUAAGCCAGUCACAAAAAGACAAUUACUGCAUGAUCUCACUCACGUGUGGAAUCUAAAAAAGUCAACCUCGUGGACAGGUGCGGUGCCUCAUGCCUGUAAUCCCAGCACUCUGGGAGGCUGAGGCAGGCAGAUCACCUGAGGUCAGGAGUUCGAGACCAGCCUGACCAACACAGUGAAACCCUAUCUCUACUAAAAAUACAAAAUUAGCCAGGCAUGGUGGUGCACGCCUGUAACCCCAGCUACUUGGAAGGCUGAGGCAGGGAAAUCGCUUGAACCCGGGAGGCGGAGGUUGCAGUUAGCCAAGAUCAUGCCAUUGCACUCCAGCCUGGGCAACAAGAGUGAAAAUCCAUCUCAAAAAAAAAAAAAAAGGAAAGAAAGAAAAAAUGCUAAAAGAGUUGGUCUUAAAUGUUCUCACAAUCUCACUAUUGCCCCUGCGCCGGCACUAACUGAGACUCAAACUCCUCGUUGUCGUAUUUGUCGGAAUAGUAAAUUUGUUUGUGGGACAUGACCGCUCCAUCUGCGAGCCUUCAGCCCCAAGCUGCCAACCUCCAAGCAACUCCCAGCAGCAGGCAGGUAUAAAGUUUUAGUUAUGCAGGAUGAACAAGUUCUGGAGACCUAAUGUACAGCAUGGUGACUAUAGGUAGUAACACUGUAUUAUAUACUUGAAAUAUGGUAAAAGAAGGCUGGGAGCAGUGGCUCACGACUGUAAUCCCAGUACUUUGGGAGGCCAAGGCAAGCAGAUCACCUGAAGUCAGGAGUUCAAGACCAGCCUGACCAACAUGGGGAAACCCCGUCUCUACUAAAAAUACAAAAUUAGCCUGUAAUCCCAGCUACUCAGGAGGCUGAGGCAGGAUAAUUGCUUGAACCCAGGAGGCAGAGGUUGCAGUGAGCCGAGAUUGCACCACUGCACUCCAGCCUGGGCAACAAGAGUUGCUCCAUCUCAAAGAAAAAAGAAAGAAAGAAAGAAACAUGCUAAAAAGAGUUUAUCUUAAAUGUUCUCACAACAUAAAAAAAGGUACUGGAACAGGCUGAAGAGAGGAAGUGUCAGGAAGGAAAUCCGUAUAGGAGAGCAUCUGGGAUGGAAGAGUGACCCUCAUGUCCUGGUCUACCCAGGGCUUUCUUAGUUUUACUAAAGUCCCUCAUCGAAGGAACUGCCUCAGGCUCAAGCAAACUGGGAUAUCCUACUGGUCAUCCUACUGCGAUCUGUGUCCUCCUGACCUGGCAUUUGUCCCUGCGGCUCUGGGACUGUGAUCAGUUUAGGUCCCUGGGCACAGCUCUGAGCUGCAGGAGUGAGGAGCUUUUGGGAGCACCUCCAAGGUGGAGAAGAAGAGGCUGGUACCUGGAUUAGAAGUCGGGCCUGGAUAAUGGCAGGAAGAUCAAGAGAAUGGGUUCAGUUCUACCCUGGCUACCUGGGGGUCUUCUCUUUGAGCUUUUUUUUUUUUUUUUUUUUUCCUGAGACAAGGUCUCACUCUGUUGCCCAGGCUGGAGUGCAGUGGUGCGAUCUCAGCUCACAGCAGCCUCUGCCUCCAGGGUUCAAGCGAUUCUCGUGCCUCAGCCUCCCGAGUAGCUGAGGCUACAGGCGUGUGUCACCAUGCCUGACUAAUUUUUGUAUUUUUUGGUAGAGACAGGGUUUCACCCUGUAGGCCAGGCUGGUCUCGAACUCCUGACCUCAGGUGAUCCACCUACCUCGGCCUCCCAAAGUGCUGGGAUUACAGGCGUGAGCCACCGCACCCAGCCCUUCCUCUUUGAGCUUCUGUUCUCUCAUCUAUAAAACGGGGAUGGUCAUCUGGACCACUGAAUCUACAAUCAGCAUGAGUGCAUGCUUGGAUAAUCUGCUAUGUCUGGCCUUCUGGCCCUUGAGGCUCCAGAGAGGUAGGAAGAGUCUCCUUCACUUGCUCAAUCCACCCUGGGAGAACCAAGUGACCAGACGAAUCCACUGAGCAUAAAGAAUGCCCAGGCCGGCCGGGCACCAUGGCUCAGGCCUGUACUCCCAGCAUUUUGGGAGGCUGAGGCAGGCCGAUCACUUGAGGCCAGGAGUUCAAGACCAGCCUGGCCAACAUGUUGAAACCCCAUCUUUACUAAAAACACAAAAAUUACCUGGGUGUGGUGGCACACGCCUGUAAUCCCAGCUACUAGGGAGGCUGAGGCAGCAGAAUCACUUGAACCCGGGAGGCGGAGGCUGCAGUGAGCCGAGAUCACGCCACUACACUUCAGCCUGGGCGACAGAGUAAGACACCGUCUCACAACACACACACACAUACACACACACACACACACAGAGAGAGAGAGAGAGAGAGAGAGAGAGAGAGAGAGAGAGAGAGAGAGAGAGAGUACACCCAGCCAGGCCUGCCCCUCUUGGACCCAUUGUCUUCCUUUGCUACCCAGCAACUGGGAAGAAAGGUAACUCUCUCUCCAGGAUUGGAGGAAACAGUAAGCAAACCUUUCUGCUUUUUGGUGAACCAAAAGUGGUGAAAGAUAAACUGUAACUCUGGCAAGGGCAGGUUAGACCAGGAACCCACCUCACAGUUCCACCCAUGCCCACUACACACACCCACUCCCACCAAUGCCCCCUUCCCUUCAUAAUCCAACUCCCUUAACUUCAUAUCCCCCUGGCCAGGCCUGGGCUGGGACAAUGACCACUGUUCAGGGACCCAGGAAGGGGCUCAGCAGCGCACAAUGAGAUCUGCCUAUGUUCUGUGUCUUCACAGCCCUUCUCCUGGGACGGGCAGUACAGAACUCAUUUCCUCGGCGGUGUGGGGGGACUCACGUACCCAGAAACUGCCAGGAGAGGAGAAAUCCUCAACCUUCAGUCUCUUCCCAGGCAAAGGAUAAAAACCAGCAUUUAGGAAUCAUCCAGAAACUGGAGUUGGAAUCCUGGCCGUGUGACUUUAAACAAAAGGCUUAAGCUCUCUGAGCCUGUUUUCUCUUCUGCAAAAUGGGGGAUAACGGUGCCCCUGUGUUCACCCGUCAGGCAGGUUCAACGGAGACAACACAUGUAAAGUGCAGGAACAUAUUACAUAGAAGGUGGAUCCUAUAAAAUGAUGGUGGGCCGGGCGCAGUGCCUCACGCCUGUAAUCCCAGUACUUUGAGAGGCUGAGGCGGGUGGAUCACCUGAGGUCAGGAGUUCAAAACCAGCCUGACCAACAUGGUGAAACCCCCAUCUCUACUAAAAAUAGAAAAAAAAAAUUAGCUGGGCAUGGUGGCAGGCACCUGUAAUCUCUGCAACUCAGGAGGCUGAGACAGGAGAAUUGCUUGAACUGGGGAGGCAGAGGUUGCAGUGAGCCAAGAUUGCGCCACUGUACUCCAGACUGGGCGACAGAGUGGGACUCUGUCUCAAAUAAAUAAAUAAAAUAAAAUGAUGGUCACAGAGGUCCUUUGGGCUCUUGGAGUUUCUCAGCCACAGGGUGGAGGGAGAGGCAACUGGGAGAUGGAUUUCUCCAGCUCUGGAAUUCUUCUAAAAAUUGCUCUUUGGGGAGAUGGAAAUUCAGAGAGGUUAGAUGUCUGG